rnacentral:rRNA from 1 species
AAGGUAGCAUAAUCAUUUGCCUUUUAAUUGGAGGCUUGUAUGAACGGACACACGAAAACGCAACUUUCUUAUCGAGGAAAAUAAAAAUUAACCUUCAAGUGAAGAGACUUGAGUACCAUAAAAAGACGAAAAGACCCUAUGGAGCUUUACUUAAGUUAUUAAACCACAAAUAAAAAAAGCUUUUUUUACUAAAAAAGUUUAGUUGGGGCGACUAAGGAGCACACACCACCCUCCUACUGACAAAAGACUCUAAAUCUACAAAAGAUCCACAAACGUGAAUAAAAAUCCAGCUACCCUAGGGAUAACAGGCUAAUCCUCCUUAAGAGCUCAAAUUGACAGGAGGGCUUGGCACCUCGAUGUUGGCUUAAGAUCUCUACUAAGUGCAGCAGCUUAGGUAGUAGGUUUGUUCAACCUUUAAAAUCUUACGUGAUC